AUCACCAUUUUUCCAAAUAAGGUAACCUCCCCAGGUUCAAGGGAUUUGGACAUGGACCUGUCUUUUGAGGGGUCACCAUUCAAUCACGACAGUGUGUGAAACAAGGGAAAACUGAACCACAAUUGAAACAGAUUGCAAAUGGAUGAAGUCAUUCUUAUAGAAUUUUGCCCUGGAAUAUUUGCUUGACAAGAGCCAGAGACAUACUCAGUUGGACCCAUGGAAGAGGUGGUCUCCAAGGUGGCGACAGAUUUAGUCCACCUGUUACUAUUGUGCUGGGACUAACUGAUCAGAAUGCUGAUCCUCCUGUAACAGAAGGGAAGGAGUCCACUUUCCUGAGGCUCAUAGGCUGGCAGAAUGACUCAACUCCUACCCCUUUAUCCCUGCAAGAAGCAUAGAACAUUUACUUCUCAGAAAUCCUCCAUCUGCUUCUCUACUGGAUAAGGAAUAAAACAAGAGUCCACUGAAGCUAGCUUAUCUUCUUCCCUUACCUUGUGAAUUUGUGCUCCUUAGCUCUUUUCACUUGGAGGGGAAACCUUUUUCUGGCUUCAUAACAGGAAUUAGGUGAGUAGUUUUUAAUUGGGCCAAUUCAGAUUUUUUUCUUUUCUCCUAUAAGUCCUCUUUUUCAUUACCAUUGGUUUCUCUGUUUUCCUACAUAAUUUUCUCUACUUUCUACCUGUAUUUAGAUUAUUUUCCAGCUACCCCACACUAGAAAGAUGUUUCUUGAGGACAUAGCUCCCAUCUUGUUUAUCUGUUUAGGCCUCCCAGUGCCUGGUAUAGAACUAUUACAGAGUAG
rnacentral:lncRNA from 1 species